ACCUGGCUGGCUCACUCAGUAGAGCAUGUGACUCUUGAUCUCAGGGUCGUGAGUUCAAACCCCAUGUUAGGCC
rnacentral:tRNA from 1 species